AUUAUACUCCCUCUGAUCCUAAAUUUUUGACUCAAAUUUGCCUAAAUAUGAAUGUAUCUAUUCUUAAAAAGCGUUUAGAUACAUGUAAUAUUUCGACAACAAUUUAGGAUCGGAGGGAGUAGAAU
rnacentral:pre_miRNA from 1 species